UUUUAGAUAAAGGAUACUAUAGAAACAAGACAGCCUGUAAUAUGUUGAUCUAUCUCUCGAUAUUAACAAUAUCUUCAACCUAUAAUUCAUGCCAAGAAUGACGAUUUCAACUUUUAAUUGUCAACUUUUCCUUUUUCAUCUGUUCACAAUACCUUUUUCUCAGUACAGUUUCUUACCAUACGAACUUUAUUUACUGAGAUCUUCGACAAGGAAUUGGUUGAACGAAACUAUUCGUAUGUUUCUCAACUCACACAUUUUAAAGUCUAAGAUCUUCC
rnacentral:lncRNA from 1 species